rnacentral:lncRNA from 1 species
CCCUAGGUGAAGCUGAAGUCAACAGAUAGUUUGGCACAUUGGCAUCCAGGGCCUCCAAUAGUAGUGUUUCAGCCCCUGCUGUGAGCUCGUGACUGCGGGGUGAUGGUCAGGACAUGGAAUCACUUCUGUUACCAGUCUUGCUGACAGAGGCUCAGAGUAUUUUCUGAAAAAGUCCUGCAGUGCAGAGGAGUCAAACAUUUGAUCACAUGCAGCAGCACAAGAUAGAUGGAGUACAGCUGACUCAACAGCUACAGGGGAUUUGGAAUGGAAACAAUCACUUGCUUGAAGGAAACAAUGUUAUCCAACUUGUGGUGUCAGUCAGCCUAUUCCCACAGUCACUGCAUUGAUGGAGGAAAAUUUUGUUUAUAAAGAAGGGGGAGAUGUGUGGAAUCCUGCACAAGAAGCUGCACCAGUAGACUUGGACGAGAGCCCAGACAUCUGGACUCUUAUCAGCCACAAACCCUGGGAGAAGUGAGCGGGACAAGUCGGGAAGAACAGGAAAAAGAACAUCAGGUGGAACCGAAGAAAGAGCAUAAAGGUAAUUUCUGAGGACUGUACAUUUGGAAACAGCAGGAUGCUUAGGCAAGAUAAAGAAUGUGUAGUCAAGGGGAAGUGGAAAUGACAAUGCGGCGAGUAGUGAUAGCAGAGAACUAUGUUUAGAAAUAAUUACUCAAGCAAAGGCGUGUUGACAGUAAUGUGAUUGGCUGGAAGAGUGCGUGAUCAGUAAGACUUUUUUGUGAUCAAAAAGUAGCAAAAGAAUUAACUGCUGCUAAGCACUAGGCAGAAUACUAUAAAAACCUGUAAGCUCACUCAAUAAAGGAUUUUGUUUGUAGCCAGAAAUGGAAUCUAUGCCUCAGCUGACACAAGAUCAGGCAUGGCAACGGAUGCCAUCCCAUUGAAAGGACGACCCGUGUGCAGUAGGGAC